rnacentral:rRNA from 1 species
GACGAACGCUGGCGGCGUGCUUAACACAUGCAAGUCGAACGAAGUGGCGAACGGGUGAGUAACGCGUAAUCAACCUGCCCUUCAGAGGGGGACAACAGUUGGAAACGACUGCUAAUACCGCAUACUGAAGGAGGGGAUUGCGUUUGAUUGGCUAGUUGGAGGGGUAACGGCCCACCAGGGCGAUGAUCAGUAGCGGGUCUGAGAGGAUGAACGGCCACAUCGGGACUGAGACACGGCCCAGACUCCUACGGGAGGCAGCAGUGGGGAAUCGUCCGCAAUGGAGGAAAGUCUGACGGAGCAACGCCGAGUGAGGGAGGACGGCCUUCGGGGUGUAAAGCUCUGUUAAUCGGGACGCGGUACCGGAAGAGAAAGCCACGGCUAACUACGUGCCAGCCGCCGCGGUAAUUC